rnacentral:lncRNA from 1 species
CAUAACUGAAGCAAUCUUAUAUCUUUAAUUUAUGAACUUACCUGGCACUUACCUGUGCGUCCGCAAGACCAAUCAUAAAUAUAAGCAACUAUUAAUGCAUAAAUAAAAUAGGCAGAUACUUUGCAUGGCAUUUCAAAAGGUAUAAUCAUUCAAUUUCAUUUUCUGGAAAAAAUCUCAAGUAUAUAGGUAUAUAUGGAAAACCAAAAGCCAACUCACUGAUAUGUCAAAGGGUCGUAGCCCCCAAGCCUCGAUUGAUGUUUCUUAUCCUCCAGAUAGGUCUCACCUAUAUGCAAAAUAACUAAAUAAAUGUUAUUUAAAGCACAUACACAAAACUAGGAAAUAACUUCUCAUACAUUGCUCAAAUAGGGUAUUUGAAUAUACCACCAUGACCUACUCAACCUCAGGAACAUCCCCAUAUUUUUAGA